GAUCCAAUGUGGCCGUGAGCUGUGGUGUAGCUUGCAGGUGCAGCUCAGAUCCCAUGUUGCUGUGGCUGUGGUGUAGGCCGGCAGCUGCAGCUCCAGUUCAACCUCUAGCCUAGGAACUUCCAUAUGCCAUGUGUAGCCCUAAAAAGACAAAAAAAUUUUAAAAAUUGCAAAAAUAAGGCCACAGACUCCCCAUAUACACUUCACCCAGAUUCACCCAUUAUUGACAUUUUACCAUUUUUACUGUGUCUCUCCACACACACACAUACACACACACACACACACACACACACACACACACACGAUUAUUAUUGUGGUUGAAUAAUUUGAGUCAGUUGCAGAUGUCAGGACCUUUACUCCUAAAUCUUGAGUGUAAUUCUCCAAAGAACAAAGCCAUUUGCUUACGUAAUUACAGCACACUGAUCACAAUCAGGAAAUUUAACAUCGAUGCAAUAUUAUUCUCUAAUACACAGCACAUAUUCACAUUUCACCAGUUGUCCUGAAAUUCUCCCUUUUAGUGAUUUUUCUGCUCCAGGGUUUAAUCCAGGAUCACAUAUUAUUUUUGUGCCGCCUGACCACUUCAUUCCCCUUCAGCCUGGAGCAGCUCCUCAGCCCGCCUUUGUGGCUCCUGACACUGACAGUUGGGAAAAGUUCAGGCCCAUUUUGCAAAAUGUCACUGGAUGUGGGUUCGUUUGCUGUCUUCUUAUGGUCGGAGUCCACUGAGCAUCUUAUUCUUUGUCCCUCUUGCUUCUUUCUGCAACUCCAGGUGCUUUAUGCUUGUAUGAAAGUUGCCUUCAUAAUGUCUGCAAAGUGUGAGAUAAGUACUGCUUGGUUCAGUUCGGCCCAUUUUGUGGAUGGACAAACUGAACACGCCUAAACGAGUCCCUUGGGAGAGCGCAGGAUAAGGCUAAUUGAAGAGAGUGUGUGACACACUAGCCAUUGCAACUCACCUGCCUGCCUGUCCCCCUCCCUCUUGCUCAUGCCCCGUCUCCCCUUUUCCUUGGGCUUAACUGAUAGGUAAAUUAUUAAGUGUUUGGCCAGGCUGGAGCCAGGAGGCUGUUUCGAGCCUGCAGAUCUUGCUGUUUAGGUUAGGUGGGGAUGAGUCCACUGGCAGCCUUCCAGUGACAAGGGCGUGAUGGAUUUCCCCCCAUUCUUUGAUAUCAGGGCUUUUGUUAGUUUGCAUUUUAUGCAGUGCUUUUCUUCAGCUCAAGGCCUUUUGCAGAGUCUUAUGUAAUGAAAAAUAAUUCUGCAAGGUAGACAGACCAGGCAAGGCCAGAAUACAGAAAGCGAAUUCCUUAUACACACUUGCAGCAACCCUGCUGGGCCCCGUUUGCAUUGGGACAGGGAUAUUCAACAUUCGUGGCCCCUGGGGACCCUAAGGGAGCAAAGACACAGGCAAAGGGGGACGGACACAAAUGCCUUUGCUAAGCUUCAGAGAGGCCCCUAUCCCUCUGCUUGGGUGACCGGCUCUCCGGAAAAGGGGACCUCUGGCUGUGGUGCAACAGGAUCUGUGGCAUCUUUGCAGCACCAGGAUGCGAGUAGGAUCCCUGGUCCAGCACAGUGAGUUAAAGGAUCUGGUGUUGCCACAGUUGUGGCAGAGGUUGCAAUGGCAGGGUUCUGAUCCCUGGCCUGGGAACUCCAUAUGCCCAGGCUGGGGGAGGGGGGAGGGGGCCAAAAAAAAAAAAAAAGAAAAA
rnacentral:lncRNA from 1 species